UUUUUACCAAACAGGUUACUUUGAACUCAGGAACAAGGUUAGAUUGUCACCUUUAUAUGCUCAGCUCUUAGCCUAGUUCCUGGCACAGAAUGUCUCAAACAAGUGACGCAUUAGUAGGGUGCUGUUUGUAAACGUUCCUUCCGCGUACCGUGGCGAGAUGUGCUAAUUACAAGCCAGCGACGUAGACUCGGAAAGAAAUCCAGAAUUUACGGACGCUGCAGGACUCUCGGUCUUUCUUUCACUCCUAUCUCUAUGGUUAGCAAGUGACCACUCUACACUCUGGAGGACUCAGCGAGCGCAGAUGAGCCCUAGGCGACCUUAUUGGCGCGUGACCGGAAGUCUGACUUGCUAUUGGUUAAUGCUGGUAAAGCCCGCCCAACAGCCUCCUGUCAGCUCCUUUAAGUAGACUCCGCGGGGAAGCGCUCAGUCUUUCGGCGACUGUGAGGUUCGACAGAUUCCUGCCGGGCCGAGAACGUAGAUCACCUUCUACUCCCCUUCGACCUUUCCCCGAAGCCUUUGAAUAAAAUGGUUUGAUCCCA